rnacentral:misc_RNA from 1 species
UUGUGAGGUGUCGGCGGAGCGCUCGGUGCAUCCCGUCUUGCGAUGGGACGACGCGUGAGUGGCGAUUAUGAUACGUCUCCCAUGCAGGCUCCGUGCAUUCGGCAUCGAACUGCUUGGGUCUAUCUAUUUCGUUCGUGGCUUCGCCUCGGCGUUUUCAUGGCCGGUUGCGACUACUCGUUGGGUUCCCGUGCUUGAUAUCGAGUUCGGUAGUUGGAUGGAUUGACGCUCCCCGUCAUGGUUGAUUGAUCCCCCGUGCCUCGUGCGGCUACGGCGGAUAUUGUGCGGGCAUCGGCGUCUGCCUCUCGAGCCGUUUUCCCCCGUUUGGGAGCCUCUGCUCGUGACGGCGCGUCGAUGUUACCGGCACUCUCGGGUACGGAGAUUUUUCGGCUGUCGCAUUGGCCUUCGACCCUUGCGAACGUUAAGCCCUCUUGCUUAUGUAUGUAUGACCCUCGUGCUCGCCUAAGAGCUCACGGAGCCUCUUCGUUCGGUGUUCUUCUCGGGAGAUAUCGAGUCUAC